GGAGUUGUAGCUCAGUGGUAGAGCACUUGCCUCAUAUGUGUGAGGCACCAGGUUCGAUUCCUAGCACCA
rnacentral:tRNA from 1 species